rnacentral:rRNA from 1 species
UCAAACCGGAGAAGUGGGGAUGACGUCAAGUCCUCAUGGCCUUUAUGACCAGGGCUACACACGUACUACAAUGGCAAGUACAAAGGGCAGCCACUUAGCGAUAAGGCGCGAAUCCCGUAAAACCUGUCUCAGUCCGGAUUGGAGUCUGCAACUCGACUCCAUGAAGUUGGAAUCGCUAGUAAUCGCAGAUCAGCACGCUGCGGUGAAUACGUUCCCGGGCCUU